rnacentral:lncRNA from 1 species
GCCCCCACGCACUCCCCUUCACCACCAUUCUUGCUCACAUCCAUCCCUAAACCACCCUUGGCUCUUUCCUCUUCUAUCCUCUAGCCACAUAGUCCACCACCUCCUCACCUAUGUGGUGUGCUUUUCGUCAACAAUCUUCUCAUUCCACCACCACUACCCAUGACCAUGAUAAGCUAUUGGCCAGCCUCUCUUUUUCCCUUCCUCUUCAUCUUUCUUAUUGAGAAAAUAGUAUAGAUGAUACUAGCAAUAUUAACAAAGAAGAAGGAAAGAUGAAGGAAACACCGACUCCUUU